rnacentral:lncRNA from 1 species
AAAUGAAAAGCUAAUACUAAUAGGUGGUGAUUGUGAACUUUACGGUGCACUUGGUUUAUACGAUAAUUUCUUAAAAGAGAAUUGUGUGGCGUACGUUGAGAAAUGCUUUGAGAAAAGUUUGUGCGUGUGACAAGGCCCGGGAAAGCUAAAACCACUAUGAAAGAGAAAAAAAAUACAUCUUUAAUAUUUGUACCAAUCUCAAAUUAAUUUUAUUGUGCUAUAUAAGAAAACAAAGAG